rnacentral:rRNA from 1 species
CCUACGGGAGGCAGCAGUGGGGAAUAUUGCACAAUGGGGGAAACCCUGAUGCAGCGACGCCGCGUGAGUGAAGAAGUAUUUCGGUAUGUACAGCUCUAUCAGCAGGAACGAGACAAGACGGUACCUGACUAAGAAGCCCCGGCUAACUACGUGCCAGCAGCCGCGGUAAUACGUAGGGGGCAAGCGUUAUCCGGAAUCACUGGGUGUAAGGGGAGCGUAGACGGCUGAGCAAGCCUGAAGUGAAAGGCGGGGGCCCAACCCCCGGACUGCUUUGGGAACUGUACGGCUGGAGUGCAGGAGAGGUAAGUGGAAUUCCUAGUGUAGCGGUGAAAUGCGUAGAUAUUAGGAGGAACACCAGUGGCGAAGGCGGCUUACUGGACUGUAACUGACGUUGAGGCUCGAAAGCGUGGGGAGCAAACAGGAUUAGAUACCCGUGUAGUC